AUGAUGUCGACGUCUCUCUCUCCAUUGACCUACCUCCCCACAGCAAAAGCAUGUCAAGCACAAGAAAGGAAUUCCAUGCCCCACACAUCGAAUCUACCUGUGUUGCUGCCCUCGUGUACCUACAGAAAACAGGCCAACGCCCUGGGCAACCAGCUCUCUUUACUGACUGCCGCCAAGCAGAAACCCCAGCCUGAGAAUAAACAAGGAGCUACUUUGUUGCCUCCUAACCAUCAUAAUACUCCACAGACCAGCCAGAAAGUGCUUUCCGAGCAUGCCACUGAUAGAGAAACCACAUCAACCCCUGUCACAGAAACAAACAAUAGCAUCCACCAUGUUCCUUCUAAAGACGACAAAAAGAGGAGGACCACCCGCAAGGUGUUGUUCCCUGGAAAAUAA
rnacentral:rRNA from 1 species